CAGGACCGCGCCAAAUCCCACAGGCCACGCUCAGGCCCGUUUGCGUGUCAACCAUGAGGACUGCUCCCGCGUUGUUGUGCACCUGUUCGCCCGAAUGCACUCGCAUGAACCGCAAACGCUCUAGCUUGAAUUGGCUUUCAGUCCCACGUCCGCUUGCUUAGCCUUUUAUUUUUUUCCUCAUGGUCACUUCAGCUCCCAUGAGCCGCGUGA
rnacentral:lncRNA from 1 species